UUGCUUCAGCAGCAUGUAUACUAAGAUUGGAACGAUACAGAGAAGGUUAGCAUGGCCCCUGCACGAGGAUGACAUGCAAAUUUGUGAAGCGUUCCAUAUUUUU